rnacentral:rRNA from 1 species
UACCUACCCUUGACAUGUCUGGAAUGCCGAAGAGAUUUGGCAGUGCUCGCAAGAGAACCGGAACACAGGUGCUGCAUGGCUGUCGUCAGCUCGUGUCGUGAGAUGUUGGGUUAAGUCCCGCAACGAGCGCAACCCUUGUCAUUAGUUGCUACGCAAGAGCACUCUAAUGAGACUGCCGGUGACAAACCGGAGGAAGGUGGGGAUGACGUCAAGUCCUCAUGGCCCUUAUGGGUAGGGCUUCACACGUCAUACAAUGGUCGGGACAGAGGGUCGCCAACCCGCGAGGGGGAGCCAAUCUCAGAAACCCGAUCGUAGUCCGGAUCGCAGUCUGCAACUCGACUGCGUGAAGUCGGAAUCGCUAGUAAUCGCGGAUCAGAAUGUCGCGGUGAAUACGUUCCCGGGUCUUGUACACACCGCCCGUCACACCAUGGGAGUGGGUUUCACCAGAAGUAGGUAGCCUAACCGUAAGGAGGGCGCUUACCACGGUGGGAUUCAUGACUGGGGUGAAGUCGUAACAAGGUAACCG